rnacentral:rRNA from 1 species
UACGGGGGGGGCAAGCGUUGUUCGGAAUUACUGGGCGUAAAGGGCGCGUAGGCGGCGCAACAAGUCACUUGUGAAAUCUCCGGGCUUAACUCGGAAAGGUCAAGUGAUACUGUUGUGCUAGAGUGCGGAAGGGGCAACUGGAAUUCUCGGUGUAGCGGUGAAAUGCGUAGAUAUCGAGAGGAACACCUGCGGCGAAGGCGGGUUGCUGGGCUGACACUGACGCUGAUGCGCGAAAGCCAGGGGAGCGAACGGGG